UGGACCUCUCUUGGUGCUGCCCAUGGUGGCUGGCAGACAAUGGCUUUUGAAGGAUCCUAACGAGAAGCUGUCAAGAACCUCCUUGCAAUGAUGAAGCCAAGGAGACAUCACCAGACGUCACCGUGCGACUUGGGAGGCGUUUGAAUGAUCCUCCCCUUCCUCCUCAUUAUUAUUAUUAUUUUCAUAGAGAAAACCAAGCCUGUGGGAUCAAAUCUCACAGCCCUGGUGUCUGGAGUUAACUCGGGUGUGUCAGCUGGAAGAGUGAGAGGGAGACACCAGGGUGGAAGUUCUGGAGCCCGUGACCUACCACUGAGACCGCAGGGCAGCUCAUGGGCCAUGCGCAGUGACCAGCCAGCCCAGAGGCCAGUGGAGGAAGGAAGUGGGCUUUGGGGCCCUGCUGAACCAUUAGGGUGGAGCCAGCUGCCUUGAAAGAAGUUUGACAAUCCUAAAACCAUGCAAGCUCGUCACCAGAGAGAUGCACGACCCCCUAUGUCAUCCCAGCUCUCCCAGCCCAGGAACCGGACCUUUAAGUAAAGAAACCUUCAGCUGGCUCCAGGCCCCACUGCAACCUCAUGAGACCCCAAGGAAGAAAUGGCCUGCUGAGCCCAGCUGACUUCUGACCUCAAGAGAUAAUAAUAAAUUACCCUUUUAAGCCACUA